ACCGCGGGCGGGCUGCCGUGGGAUGGGCGGUCGGUGGCGGCGCUCCCCGACGCCGGGCCGCCGGCGGAGUCCUCCCGGCGCGAAUGCUUUCCCUUUCUGCAUGUCCUCUUUCUUGUAAGCCAGACGUCAUUUUUUCAUUGCGAAGACCAAAUGCGCGGAACGUGAGCGGUCAUUUCGAGGGGCCGCACCUGGGGACGGAGCCCAAGCCCCCGCUCUGUUUGAAGAAUAGCCGCGUCUGUUUGCCACACUUCCGCGCCCUCGUUUUUUCGCCACCCUCCUCCUCUUCCUUCCCGCCGAGGGUGAUGAGAACUACAGGACUGAUUGCCUGAACUCCUGGGCCUUUCAUCCAAAACCCGAACCAAAGAGGGUUGAGGUCUUCUCAGGAGGCAGUUGGAAGGGGCAUGUUUGUUGGCAGUGUUUGAGGAAUUGUGGCAAGCAGAAGCGGUCACAGAACAACGGAUAGAAGCGAGUGUACUGCAGAAAGGGGGGAAAAUGGAUUCCAUAGACCACAAACGGCCCUUCUCUCUCUCGGCUUCCAGUCCCCCUUCUCUUGUUCCUGCUCGCUGCCUUCCUCUGCCUCUGCCAUUCCCAGCCACCCGCAUGGUAGACCUUGCAGCAAUGUUGGUGAAAUAUGUUUCAGUGAUUAUAAUUCAAGACAACGCGUGGGUUAUCCUCGGAGCUUUACGCUUAUGUUGUGAACACGAAAUGUGAUGUUAAUGGGACGAUAAAGUACGCUGGAUUUGGAAUGAAAAGAACAGGACCACACCUGUGGCACAUGAAGUUUCCAGACUAGAGGUCAAAUCAGAGCUACAGCUGCUGGCCGACACCACAGCCACAGCAACACAGGAUGAAAGCCACGUCUGCGACCUCCACCACAGCUGACGGCAACGCCAGAUCCUUAACCACUGAGCGAGGCCAGGGAUCGAACCUGCGUCCUCAUGGAUCCCUGUCGGAAGAGUUAACCGCCGAGCCGUGGAGGGAACUCCCCUGACAACUUUUAUUACCUUUAAUAUUACUUUGUUUUAACCUCUCACGCGUCCCUUAUAUGAUGGUGAUGUUGGCAUUUACGGUUAUGAGGCCUCAAAUCCCGCAGUGUUCUCACAGCUUCCAAAGGCACCCAGGCAUGCUUUUCACCUCUCCCAGCAGUCCUGCAAACGGUUAAAAUGAGGACGUGAUGCUAAUACUGGAGUCUGAGACUUUAAAAAAAUCUUGAAAUUUCGAUGCCUUGCCCCAAAGGAAGUCAGCCCAGGCCCUUUCCACUCCCAUUUCCAUGGUCUUUCUCCUGACCUGCCAUCAACUCAUUUGUGCCCCCUCGGUCUGGAUUUUCUUUUUGUUACCUUCACCCCACCUCAGGAUUCAAUGCUUCCUCCUCAUUCUUGGUUGAAAUGCAUCAAGUCCAUAUUUUAUUCCCUUAGAUGCUCUGUGAAGUUGGCCUUCGAGCAAGUCUGGGGUUUGAACCCCAUACUUGCCUGCUAAUGGGAAGGGAGAGAAGCAUCUGCGAUUCUGUGUGCUUUGCAGUAAUGUUCACAGACGCAGCCGUAUUCCCCUUUUUGGAAGGAAGAAAUAGGUAUGAUGAUAUAAUGAGAUUUUCAUUUUCUUUCACUUGAUGAUCUGUUACGUUCCAAUUAGUCACCUAGGUAAAAACUCAGCUUAUUCUAAAUUAUAAUGUGUUUUUGAGAUUGACGUAAGCACUCUAAUCACAUUUCUGAAAUAUCCUCAUGGUGGCAAAUCUUCAUUCUUUUUUUUUUUUUUUGCUUUUUAGGGCUGCUCCCACGGCAUAUGGAAGUUUCCAGGCCAGGGGUCAAAUCAGAGCUGCAGCUACACCAGAGCCACAGCAACUCAGGAUCCAAGGGGCAUCUGCAACCUACACCCCAGCUCAUGGCAAUGCCAAAUCCUCCACUGAACAGGGCCAGGGAUCAAACCCGCAUCCUCACAGAUCCUAGUCGGGAUCCUUAACCACUGAGCCGCGAAGGGAACUCCGCAUCUUUCUUUAAAGGAAGAUUUUGGUUUUUGGAAAUGGCCCAAAGUUAUCAGAGCCAGUUGGGUAAAUAAUAAAAAUUACUGAGCCAAGCCAUAUCAUUUGUGAUUAAAAAUAAGGUCAAUAUAAAUAAAACCAGUAUUCUUGGGUGGUUCCAAAACUGAGCUGAAAAUAAUUUCAAAGAAACAGUGGCAGCAUUAUUAGAAUAUAAAUAUGUAAUCUUCUCGUGUAACUAUAAUCAUUUUAUUUGAUUAUAUAGUCGUAUUUGCUCU
ensembl:lncRNA